rnacentral:rRNA from 1 species
AGCGAGAAUUAUGUGAGAAUCAUAAUGGCCGAAAAUCUAAGGUUUCCUGAGGAAGGUUCGUCCGCUCAGGGUAAGCCGGGAGCUAAGGUGAGGCGGAAACGCGUAGCCGAUGCACAUACGGUAGAGAUUCCGUAGCCUCCGAAAAGUAAAGCACAGGGACGCUUCAGAAGUGUUACGCCGGGCGAUGGUAGCCCCGGUUGUAAAGGACACAAUUGAGUGGAAGGUAACAUGGAUGGAGACAAGAAAAGCUGUGUGUAUCUGGAAGGAGCCCGUACCGCAAACCGACACAGGUAGAUAGGAAGAAGAUUCUAAGGCCAGCGGGAGAAGGGUUGUUAAGGAACUCGGCAAGUUGGCCCCGUAACUUCGGGAGAAGGGGUGCUUACGAAGGUAAGCCGCAGAGAAUAGGCCCAAGCGACUGUUUAGCAAAGACACAGCUCUAUGCUAAAUCGAAAGAUGACGUAUAUGGGGUGACACCUGCCCGGUGCUGGAAGGUUAAGAGGAGAUGUGAGAGCAUUGAAUUGAAGCCCCAGUAAACGUCGGCCGUAACGAUAACGGUCCUAAGGUAGCGAAAUUCCUUGUCAGGUAAGUUCUGACCCGCACGAAUGGUGUAACGAUUUGGGCACUGUCUCAACAACCUACCCGGCGAAAUUGUAGUACCGGUGAAGAUGCCGGUUACCCGCGACUAGACGGAAAGACCCCAUGGAGCUUCACUGUAGCUUAAUAUUGAAUUUUGGUAUUUCAUGUACAGGAUAGGUGGGAGACUGGGAAAUACAGGCGUCAGCUUGUAUGGAGUCACUGUUGGGAUACCACUCUUGAGGUGCUGAAAUUCUAACCUGCGUCUUUGAAUCAAGACGGGGGACAUUGUUAGGUGGGCAGUUUGACUGGGGCGGUCGCCUCCAAAAGAGUAACGGAGGCGCUCAAAGGUUCGCUCAGCAUGGACGGAAACCAUGCCAAAGAGUGCAAACGCAAAAGCGAGCCUAACUGCGAGACUGACGGGUCGAGCAGUAACGAAAGUUGGAGUUAGUGAUCCGGCGGUAUGUGAGUGGAAAUGCCGUCGCUCAACGGAUAAAAGCUACCCUGGGGAUAACAGGCUGAUCUCCCCCAAGAGUCCACAUCGACGGGGAGGUUUGGCACCUCGAUGUCGGCUCAUCGCAUCCUGGGGCUGAAUUCGGUCCCAAGGGUUUGGCUGUUCGCCAAUUAAAGCGGUACGCGAGCUGGGUUCAGAACGUCGUGAGACAGUUCGGUCCCUAUCUGUCGUGGGCGUAGGAUAUUUGAAAGGAGCUGUCCCUAGUACGAGAGGACCGGGAUGGACGCACCUCUGGUGAACCAGUUGUCACGCCAGUGGCACGGCUGGGCAGCUAAGUGCGGAACGGAUAAACGCUGAAAGCAUCUAAGCGUGAAGCCGACCUUAAGAUAAGAUAUCCGUUCUUCGGAAUAAGACCCCUUGUAGACUACGAGGUUGAUAGGCUUAAAGUGUAAGCAUGGUGACAUGUUUAGCUUGCAAGUACUAAUCGGUCGAUUGCUUUU